AUUGAACGCUGGCGGCAGGCCUAACACAUGCAAGUCGAACGAACUCUUCGGAGUUAGUGGCGGACGGGUGAGUAACACGUGGGAACGUGCCUUUAGGUUCGGAAUAACUCAGGGAAACUCGAGCUACUACCGAAUGUGCCCUUCGGGGGAAAGAUUUAUCGCCUUUAGAGCGGCCCGCGUCUGAUUAGCUUGUUGGUGAGGUAAUGGCUCACCAAGGCGACGCGCAGUAGCUGGUCUGAGAGGAUGACCAGCCACAUUGGGCGUGAGACACGGCCCAAACUCCUACGGGAGGCAGCAGUGGGGAAUCUUGCGCAAUGGGCGAAAGCCUGACGCCGCCAUGCCGCGUGGAUGAUGAAGGUCUUAGGAUUGUAAAAUCCUUUCACCGGUGAAGAUAAUGACUGUAGCCGGAGAAGAAGCCCCGGCUAACUUCGUGCCAGCCGCCGCGGUAACAC
rnacentral:rRNA from 1 species